UGUAAUCUAAGACCUAGAGCGGCGCACGGGUGCGUAACGCGUAUGCAACCUACCUUAUACUGGGGGAUAGCCCGGAGAAAUCUGGAUUAAUACCCCAUGGCACAUAUUGAUGGCAUCUGAGAUAUGUUAAAGAUUUAUUGGUAUAAGAUGGGCAUGCGUCUGAUUAGCUAGUUGGCGGUGUAACGGACCACCAAGGCGACGAUCAGUAGGGGUUCUGAGAGGAAGGUCCCCCACACUGGCACUGAGAUACGGGCCAGACUCCUACGGGAGGCAGCAGUAGGGAAUAUUGGGCAAUGGUCGGAAGACUGACCCAGCCAUGCCGCGUGCAGGAAGAAUGCCCUCUGGGUUGUAAACUGCUUUUAUCUGGGAAGAAAAAGGCCAUGCGUGCAAUUGCCGGUCC
rnacentral:rRNA from 1 species